AUGUUAAUAAAUGCACUCGUUAGAUUUACUAUUGGAACAUUAGGAACUACUCCAAACAUUAUCUUCCAUAAUUAUUUUACUUUACCCAUUUUUAAACCUGGGGACAUUUAGUUCGCUACCUUUGAGGACUCAUGCUUUCAGUUCCGGGACAGAUGAUUAUUAUUUUUGAGCAGGAAUGGAGGCUGCAUUGUGCCUAUCUGCACAGUUCAGUGUGACCUCUGUCCUACUAAAUCACACCAUUAGAACACCCAAAGGGAUAGCUUCCAAUAGUAAACUGAUAGUUGGUGAUUUAUCAAUAGACUUAAGUGUUAUAAUACAAGGGACCAGUAGCAACCCCGUUUCUCCUGGACGUUGCCAUAGCCUUCCAGUUGGUGUCUGUGUCAUUCACAUGGCUUCACCUUUUGUUUUCAGAUCUCUGUUGAAAUGUCACCAUUUUUAGGUCACCUGGAAAUUUUGCUAAAAUGCUCUACCAUUCAUCUUGUUUUUCCCAGUUUCUUUCUAUCUAUCAUGAUAAUAUACACCACCACUUCACACAUGGCAUAUGUGUUCCUCUGUCCAGCCCACCAGAACUGGAGCAAACUCUAGCGAGGAAGGUGUUAGUCUGUACUGUGCCCGUGGAGUAAAGCAGUGGGGUCCCAGGGAAGAGCCGAGUAAUGUACAUGUCUGCAUGGGAUUCUUUGAAAGUGCUUCCUGACUUCCUUCACUGCCUCAGCAGGUGGUGCCACUCAAACCUGGCCUAGGAACCCAGACCUAGGUGGGAGAGUACCAGCUCCAUAAAUGUCCCCAGACCUUCACUUCUGCCCUGUAGCUUGUGGGCCCUUUGCCUCAUGCUCUCACGCAGUGUUAAAUGAAUAGAAGAAUUAAUCUAAGAAGAUUUUAUUGUUAUAUUUAUCAGUUUCCAAUUUCAUUAUUUCUCCUUUCUUUAUGUGUAUGAGUUUGUGGUGUGCAUGGUCAUUUUUGCCGGUGAGUGCCUGCAUGCACAUGUGGAGGUCAGACACUGACCUAGAAGUCUUCUUCAGUCACUAGCUGCUGUGCUCUCUGACUUGAACCCACAGCUCCCUGACACGGCCAGUAUCACACCAGCUUGCUUUAACCAUGGAGGCAUCCCCUGUUCCCUUACAAUGAUUAUUUUGAACAAUAAAUUAUUUGGGAUAUUAGCAUUUUCUCUCAUUGUUAAUUUUAAUUCAUUUACAAAUCAGAUCUCUGCUUUUUUAAAUUAAAAACUGAAUCAAAAACUUUUAUUAUUGUUACUGUUGCAUGAAUUUGUGCUUUAUGUGUCUGGAGUCACAUGUACCGUGAUGUGCAGUUGGCAGCCAGAGGUUGUUUAUGGAGUUGGUUCUCUCUCUCCAUUUUUACCUGAUUUCUAAGACUGAACUCCCUCAGGCCCUCAAGCUUGUGCAGAAAAUACUUUUACAGACUAGUGAUCUUGCUGGCCCUCGUUGCUAAUUUUGUCCUGGAAAUCCCAAUAAUGUUUUUAUAAUAAAUAAUGCAUUUGUAAGUGGGAGGGCAAAGUCCUAGGCAUUAAUAAUUAGACAACGUGAAUUCAACGAUUACUUUGCUUUUGAAAUCUAUGUGACCUUUUUUGGCAGGGGGAAUAGAAUGUUAAGAAACUUCAAAUCAGUUUUAUUAUUCCUCAUUUGCUUCCAUUAUAUUUUCUUUAGGGACACAUUAAAAUACGUGUUUAUUCGCUGAGUACCCUAGAGGAGAUAAUUAGAGCAAAUGAAACAUCUGAAGCAGUUUUUGUCAACGAGGAUUACUCGGUGAUGAGCAACCAAACUUUCUAAGGUGCUUGAAAUGCCUCAGGCCUCCAAAUAAGAGGAGUCAAGUGGGGUGAACUCUGCCCCAUGUUGUUGACAUGUCAGGUGCCAAGUUUAUAGCAUCCUGAUGCCUCUAAGGUUAUCUAAAAAGAAGGCUUCUUGGAAAAUUUUGGAACCUUUAAAAUAAUUCUUAUAACCCUGUGCCCCAAAAGAGACAUUGAUCUGUGAUCUGUGCAUUGAGCUCAUCUAUGAGCUGAAGCAAGGAGCUCCCAUCAGUUGGUGACGGAGUCCUUGCACCAUCCUCAUCGUGGCCUUUGUUGGAAAGGCUCUCAUCCUCAGGGCAUCACCUUCUUUUCCGCAGUCUCUAAGUUUUUUGAUGGCCAAAUCCCUCAGUUACUUCAAUGACUUCAUAUACAGUGUCUUGUACACAGUUUAGAGUAUAUCUUCCCCAGGGUAAAAGUUAACAAGCAAGCAAGCAAACAAACAAACAAAUAACACAUAUGAGGUAAAGUUUGGCUUUAAGGUCCCACAACUCUAAAGUGUAUUCCUAUUCCCGCUUGCUGUAGGUUCCCCCCUCAACCUUAUUAAUAUUCCUCCUUAGCUGUUGGCUUGAACGUUUUUUGUUUUUUUUUUUUUUAAACAGGCACAUUUUUAUAUAUUUACAAUUUAAUUCAUGCUGAGAUUCUAUUACUUCUGUAAUUUUUUAGUUUUCCUUGGUGACUUAUUUUUUAUGCAUCUCUAUCCACAUUUUCAACUCAUUUGUUUUCCUUUUAUUUCAUUUGAACUUUUAAAAUGUUAGAUAAUUUUUAGCAAUUAUUUGUUUUUUUUUCCUUUUCAAGAGGUGGUACAGUAGACAGACCAACAGCUUGGCUUCGGAGCCAGACCUCCUGGAUUUGAUUCUCAGCACAAUACUCAUGACUUACACCAUCUUGGCAAAUGAACUCGUGAAUGUAGGUGCUAGCAGCGUCUCCUCGUGCAGUCGGUAUGAAGAUUAAAUGGAUGGACACAUAUAGACGUCCAAAAUAGUGCCUGACACAUAGUAAGCAAAGAAACAUUGCGUAAUUCUUUUCUGCAACACCAGCUUCGUUCACACUUACUCUUCAUAGUCGUCCAUAAUGGCUUAGCGGUUAUGUAUGCUAAGACAGUUUACUCUGAACAAAUUGUACAGUGAAUACAACGAACUGUUGUGUAAGCGGCUAAGAUGAUGAAACAGAACUACAUCUAAUAGCCAGAGGAACUACUAAGGCUACUUUUAGGUGGAAUUUGCAGUUCUACGUUCUUGCCAUAAAUUUAAUGUUUAAGAGCGGUGUCCAUUUUAAGACAUUUCUUUGUAAACAAGAGAAAUCAUUGAAAAAGGUAUGCAUGCUGAGAAUGAGUGGAGGGAGUUUCGAACUCUUGAACUUUCUCCUGUCCAUGAGUUUUAAAGUGAAGCAUUAUGCACGCAGUACCCAUUUUGUACAUUUCAGAAUUUUAAAAGCAUUGGAACAAACUUCCGUCUUUGCUUGUGUGGAGUAGGCCACUCUAAAGAAAGUUCACAUACUUUUAAUAUGCGUGUUUUAAAACCAGAUUUAGGAGAAUAAGACUAAGAGAAUGCAGGAAGACUUUUAUUUGCUCCGUGAGUCAAGAAGCAAGUUGCUAUUAUUUUCAAUUCUUUUUGUUUGAGCAGAUUAAGAAGAAAUAGGCUAGUCACAAAUUCCCAUUUGCCCACAAGUGUACACAGGUGUGUGAGCACAGCCUUACAAUACCUGAGUUACUCUGAAAAUGACAGAAAUUUUCAAAAGGUAAAGUUUAAAAUAAGGCAGAAGGAAUAAGAUGAGAAAUAUGUGUAGACAAAUUUGUGGUUUUCGUAUUUGAAUAAUGUUUGCCAAUAUGUGAAAGUGUAACCUCUACUAUUUGAGACUAUUAUCUCACUAAUGCGUUCAUGGGCAUGUGAAUGUCCCAAACAUAUGUAGCAUGUGUCUUUUCAUCUACUUGUAAUUAAAUAAAUGUACAGCCUUAGAUGUCAGCCUUCCAUAAUUUAGAGAUAAUAAUCUGGAGUCCUUCUGAAAUUGCUUUUAAAUGUAGAUCAUUUUUCUCAUUUCAGAUGCUCCUAAUUCCCUUGCAAAGCUUUAUUUGCUGUAAUAUAACCGAGAACCCUGAUCUGCAUGUCAUUGUGGUUAGCUGAUAGAAGGCCAGUAUUUAAAUUUCUUUGAGGUCUCUUGCUGAGUGGCGUCACAGGAUGAAGAGCUCUUCAGGAGGGGGAAUGUGCUUGUGGUUUUUGGUCUUGUGCAUUUUGUGACAAAGGAAUUCCCUUUUGAAUCGCGCUGUUCCCUUGAAACCCUGGAGCCUCUGGUUCAAGCAGCGCAGUCAGUCUGUGCAGUGUCCCUGACGUCAUCCGGCGUAUGCAUAAGCUCUGCUAUUGUCUUACCGCUAGAGCAGGGCUGAGGACUGCAGUCUCUGCUGCUGCUCGCAGACCUGCCCUGCGCUAGCUACCUAGCCCUGCCUCACUGCAUCCCUCAAGAGCCGCGGCAGCCUUUCCUUGCCUGCUGGAUUUUGAGAAGCAGCUCUUCGAUUUGGGCUGGUGUAGGAGCCCUGGCUUUCCAUUCUCGAGAGAAAGCUGAAGCGCUCAGAGGAGAAUCUGGCAGCUGGACAUAGCUCGGACUGCAUUGUCUGGCUUCAUGACCCCUGCUGUGUAGCCGGCUCAUCUCUUUGCUCUCAGGAGCACAUGCACAUCUUACAUUUUCCUACUUCCUUUUUCUUUUUCUUUCCCUUCUUCUAAUUUUUUUUUAAAGCACCUUCUGGAGCCAGCCAUGUUUGGUACUGAAUCUUCAUUGAGCAUGUUUUUGAACACGUUAACCCCAAAGUUCUACGUGGCCCUGACAGGCACUUCCUCGCUAAUAUCGGGACUUAUUUUGAUAUUUGAAUGGUGGUAUUUUCGCAAGUAUGGAACAUCUUUCAUUGAACAAGUCUCCGUAAGCCACUUGCGCCCCCUUCUGGGAGGGGUUGACAACAACUCUUCCAAUAAUUCUAAUUCCAGUAAUGGAGACUCAGAUUCCAACAGACAAAGUGUCUCAGAAUGCAAAGUAUGGCGAAAUCCACUGAAUCUGUUUAGGGGUGCGGAAUAUAAUCGGUACACUUGGGUCACAGGACGAGAGCCUCUGACCUACUAUGACAUGAACCUCUCUGCCCAGGACCACCAGACAUUCUUUACUUGUGAUUCAGAUCAUCUUCGCCCUGCAGAUGCAAUAAUGCAAAAAGCUUGGAGAGAAAGGAACCCUCAAGCCAGGAUUUCUGCAGCUCAUGAAGCCUUGGAGAUAAACGAAAUUAGGUCCAGAGUUGAAGUUCCCCUAAUUGCUUCCUCUACCAUCUGGGAGAUAAAAUUGUUACCAAAGUGUGCAACUGCGUACAUUCUCUUGGCGGAAGAAGAAGCGACAACUAUUGCUGAAGCAGAAAAACUCUUUAAGCAGGCCCUGAAGGCUGGAGAUGGUUGUUACCGGCGCUCUCAGCAGCUACAACAUCAUGGGUCCCAGUAUGAAGCUCAACACAGACGAGACACCAAUGUCUUAGUCUAUAUCAAAAGAAGGCUGGCGAUGUGUGCCCGGAGACUUGGAAGGACCAGAGAAGCAGUGAAGAUGAUGAGAGAUUUAAUGAAGGAGUUUCCCCUCCUAAGCAUGUUCAAUAUCCAUGAGAACCUUCUAGAAGCUCUUCUGGAACUCCAAGCUUAUGCUGAUGUUCAGGCAGUCUUAGCAAAGUAUGAUGAUAUAAGCUUACCAAAGUCGGCGACAAUAUGCUACACAGCCGCCCUGCUCAAAGCAAGAGCUGUCUCUGACAAAUCGCCAGUACCUACUGCAACAUCUUUUCUCCCUACACAGCGACUCCAGCUUGGGAGGGCAGGGCCAGGGUUGCCACAGCUUCCCCUGUGGUGUCUGCCUGCCAAGCACAGCUCUGGAGUUAGCCCUGGGUGUGAGAUUCUCUCCAGAGGCUGCGUCUCGGAGGGGGCUGAGCACAGCAGAGAUGAAUGCAGUAGAAGCCAUCCACAGAGCUGUGGAAUUUAAUCCACACGUGCCAAAAUAUCUACUAGAAAUGAAAAGCUUAAUCCUCCCACCAGAACACAUCCUGAAGAGAGGAGACAGUGAAGCGAUAGCAUAUGCAUUCUUUCAUCUUGCACACUGGAAGAGGGUGGAAGGGGCUUUGAAUCUCUUGCAUUGUACGUGGGAAGGCACUUUCCGGAUGAUCCCGUAUCCCCUGGAGAAGGGACACCUAUUUUAUCCAUACCCAAUCUGUACAGAAACAGCUGACCGGGAGCUGCUUCCCUCUUUCCAUGAAGUCUCAGUUUACCCAAAGAAGGAACUUCCCUUCUUCAUCCUCUUCACUGCUGGACUGUGCUCCUUCACAGCCAUGCUGGCCCUCCUGACACAUCAGUUUCCGGAACUUAUGGGAGUCUUCGCAAAAGCUUUCCUCAGCACUUUGUUUGCCCCCUUGAACUUUGUUAUGGAGAAAGUGGAAAGCAUCCUCCCCUCCAGUUUGUGGCAUCAGCUGACACGGAUCUGAGGGAGCCUCCCAUCCUUCACUUUCCACACCAUCCACCAUCUCUUCUGUGCCAACCUCUCAUGGACCGCAAGAAAGCAUGACUUUGAAAAAGGGAAACCAUUCUGAGAUUUUAAACUGCUCAUGGACUAUCAGUUCCUUAUUAAAGGCUGGUUUUGUUGUACAAAAUUUAUUGAUGUUCAGUUCUAUUUUAUUUUGCCUUCAAAACUGACUGAUCAAAAAGUAAAAAAAAUAAAUAAAUAAACUUUUGUGUAUUGCAA